rnacentral:rRNA from 1 species
AGUCGACGGCAGCGCGGGGCAACCUGGCGGCGAGUGGCGAACGGGUGAGUAAUAUAUCGGAACGUACCCUGGAGUGGGGGAUAACGUAGCGAAAGUUACGCUAAUACCGCAUACGAUCUAAGGAUGAAAGUGGGGGAUCGCAAGAACUCAUGCCCUGUGGCGGCCGAUAUCUGAUUAUCUAGUUGGGAGGGUAAAAGCCUACCAAGGCGUCGAUCACUAGCUGGGCUGAGAGGAGAACCAGCCACACUGGAACUGAGACACGGUCCACACUCCUACAGGAGGCACCAGUGGGGAAUUUUGGACAAUGGGCGCAAGCCUGAUCCACCAAUGCCGCGUGAGUGAAAAAAGCCUUCUGGUUGUAAAGCUCUUUUGUCAGGGAAAAAACGGUGAGCUC